rnacentral:rRNA from 1 species
CCUACGGGCGACAGCAGUGAGGAAUAUUGGUCAAUGGGCGCAAGCCCGAACCAGCCAAGUCGCGUGAGGGAAGACGGCCCUACGGGUUGUAAACCUCUUUUGCCGGGGAGCAAGCCUGAGCACGUGUGCCCAGGCGGAGAGUACCCGGAGAAAAAGCAUCGGCUAACUCCGUGCCAGCAGCCGCGGUAAUACGGAGGAUGCGAGCGUUAUCCGGAUUUAUUGGGUUUAAAGGGGGCGUAGGCGGGCUGUUAAGCCGGCGGUAAAAAUUCAGGGCUAAACCCUGUGAUGCCGUCGGAACUGGCAGUCUUGAGUGGGAGAGACGUAUGCGGAAUGCGUGGUGUAGCGGUGAAAUGCAU